AGCUGCGGUGCCUGUAGUGGCCAGAUAACUGCGGGUGUGUCUCGCAAGCAAGUGGAAAUAUGAUGUACCAAGAAACAGUACAGGAAUGUAUAUGGAUCAGAGCUUGGACAACAUUUUCCUGAUGAUUUUGAGCAUCUUUCAAGGAGACAAGAUUCCAAGGAUAAUGAAAUACCAGCAGAAUAAAGACUGGAAAAGGUACCACUACUGCAUCCUCUAAAAGUGAGGAAGAAUUGGAAAAUCUCUGCUGUCUUUGGGAAGAGCAGAAGGGAGUAAACCCCAGCCCCUCAGUCAGCUGGUGAGACUAGACUUGCAUCCUUACCAACUAUUCAAAAGCAUCCUGGCCAAAAACCCAUUGCAUAUCAUAAUACUGAUGCUGAAUAAAACAUUUGCUCAGUUUUCCUCGGAUUCCUUCUCAGGAGGAAGGAGAUGUUUUGAGGUUGCAAAGGCAACCAUGUAAGCACAUUUCAGGACUGAGCACAGAGUGAAUUAAAGUGACACUAUAAAUACAGGAAUAUGAACUCAAACAAAGCAAAAAUGGAAAUAUCAAAACUUAUCUCCAU